AGUGAACGCUGGCGGCAGGCCUAACACAUGCAAGUCGAACGGCAGCACAAGAGAGCUUGCUCUCUGGGUGGCGAGUGGCGGACGGGUGAGGAAUGCAUCGGAAUCUGCCCAUUUGUGGGGGAUAACCUCGGGAAACCGGGACUAAUACCGCAUACGACCUACGGGUGAAAGCAGGGGAUCUUCGGACCUUGCGCAGAUGGAUGAGCCGAUGCCGGAUUAGCUAGUUGGAGGGGUAAAGGCCCACCAAGGCGACGAUCCGUAGCUGGUCUGGGAGGAUGAUCAGCCACACUGGGACUGAGACACGGCCCAGACUCCUACGGGAGGCAGCAGUGGGGAAUAUUGGACAAUGGGCGCAAGCCUGAUCCAGCCAUGCCGCGUGUGUGAAGAAGGCCUUCGGGUUGUAAAGCACUUUUGUUGGGAAAGAAAAGCAGCCGGUUAAUACCCGGUUGUCAUGACGGUACCCAAAGAAUAAGCACCGGCUAACUUCGUG
rnacentral:rRNA from 1 species